UACGUAGGUGGCAAGCGUUGUCCGGAUUUACUGGGUGUAAAGGGCGUGUAGCCGGGCUGACAAGUCAGAUGCGAAAUCCGGGGGCUCAACCCCCGAACUGCAUUUGAAACUGUUGGUCUUGAGUAUCGGAGAGGCAGGCGGAAUUCCUAGUGUAGCGGUGAAAUGCGUAGAUAUUAGGAGGAACACCAGUGGCGAAGGCGGCCUGCUGGACGACAACUGACGGUGAGGCGCGAAAGCGUGGGGAGCAAACAGG
rnacentral:rRNA from 1 species